rnacentral:rRNA from 1 species
AUUGAACGCUGGCGGCAGGCCUAACACAUGCAAGUCGAGCGGGGUUUUCGGACCCAGCGGCGGACGGGUGAGUAAUGCGUAGGAAGCUACCCGAUAGAGGGGGAUACCAGUUGGAAACGACUGUUAAUACCGCAUAAUGUCUACGGACCAAAGUGUGGGACAUUCGGGCCACAUGCUAUCGGAUGCCCCUACGUGGGAUUAGCUAGUUGGUGGGGUAAUGGCUCACCAAGGCGACGAUCCCUAGCUGGUUUGAGAGGAUGAUCAGCCACACUGGAACUGAGACACGGUCCAGACUCCUACGGGGGGCAGCAGUGGGGAAUAUUGGACAAUGGGCGCAAGCCUGAUCCAGCCAUGCCGCGUGUGUGAAGAAGGCCUUCGGGUUGUAAAGCACUUUCAGUAGGGAGGGAGAGUUGAGUGUUAAUAGUACUCAGCUUUGACGUUACCUACAGAAGAAGCACCGGCUAACUCUGUGCCAGCCGCCGCAGUAAAAC